UGAAAUUGUGGUGUCUGUAGUUUUCCAUUGGUCGUUUAUUGUCAGUCAAGUUCUCAAGUUUUUAUGCACCGCUGCCAUUUCGGAUCAAUGCUAACAACAUGGCUUCUUCAUUUCACUUGCUAUCUUGACUCGCUCCAAACCAAGCAAAACUCCUGCAACAGCUCCUCCACCUCCAGUAGUAGCAAGCUUAUCUUACUUCUCAUCCUAAUAUAGUGUGCAAAGUCUAUAAAAAAAUUAAUAGUAAUGAGUACGCGUACCUCUUGUAUUUUCAAGACUUAUCUGCAGCAGAAAUGAGGCUAUAGCUAAUAUUCAUGUACCAAAGUAAAGUGAACAGUGAACUGCUAAUUCUGGUAGAAUUAAAACAAAAAUCAACAAAUUAGGAGAUGCAGUCCGCAACAACAAAACCUAAUUAGCAAUGACAAUACACAUAUGUGGAGUUUCUAGUGUUUUAGAAUUUUUUCUGCAUGGAAGCACAGCAGUACCAGGAUUCAUGCCAUUCUGAUUGGAAACUUUGGGAGGACAAAAAUCAUAUGUUCUACUUGUUCUACGAAUGCCAAAAUCUGAGUUGUUUAUGUGAUGAUCUAGUGCAAUGUGUGACCUUGACAUGCAUUUCUAUGGACACAUUACCUGUCAUUAGCUUGUUGAUUAACAUAUGAUUUUAUCAUUCUUGUGGAAAAUAUUUUAUGUCAAGGGUACCGAGACGGCUUCGAAACCUGAACAUCCCAGUGCAGGCUGUUGAUAGUGUACAAGCAGAUGAAGAAAAUUUACAGGCCCUCCAGAAAAUUAAUGAUUUCUUACGAAGAAAGUGAUGGAGAAACUGGAAGAAAGAAAACAAAAGAUAACAAUGGGAGCCUUUCAUGGGAAGAUAAUAGAGAAGUAUUUAAAAGUGUGCAUGGGGAAGAAGGGAAAAACUUCGAGGGUAUUAUGGUGAUAAGUAUUGGAGCGAAAUAAAGUCUCUCAGGGACUGACUUUUGUUCGGCAUUCUUAUAAAGGAGAAAAUGUUCAGUUUGCACUGCGGGCACUAGGUGAUAAUGUAGAAAACAUGACAGAUGAGAUGGCUAUGAUGAGUUCGUUCCUGAAGCAAAAAUUCCCUGGAGAGGAUUGGAGAAAUGACUUUGUAACUGAGGGAAGUGAUGAAGUUGGUAUCUUAGCCACAUCUCUUUCUACAAAGAUAAAAGUAUGAGUAUUAAUAUAUUAUUAUCAUAUUCUUGUUUUAGGUUGAUCUGAAUGGAAGAGUAGUUGGCAGUGACCUCCCACGUGAAUCAGACAACAAAGUUGAAGAAUCACCUGGCAGUUCAACAUUUCUUCUUACACUGGAUUGAAAGCUUAUGUUCUGAAAGUUUCUAUGUUAUCUUUCUUUUUUCAGGGUAGCUAAAGAUUUAGAAAAGGUGUGCACCCCAAGAGCCAGGAGGAACUACAGACAGAAGAUCUAGUCUUUAAGUGAACAAAUAUUACAGAUUAUGUAUAGAUUUUAGCUUCAUAGGAAAACUUAGUUCUAGUUUUCAGUAUAGUUUCUUAAUUAUUUGCAUCUUUCAUAUGAAUGUAUGAUUUGAUUCAGUUGUGAACUCAAGAUGUUUGUUCCUACUAA